rnacentral:lncRNA from 1 species
GUUCAGUGUAGAGGUCUGAGCUGAACAUAGACUUCCGAAAGUCAUUAUCACAUGGGUAGAAAUGGAAACAGAGCUUACAGAGAGACAAAUUACAAAAUAGAAACAGAAUAGACUUGUGUUAAGAGUCCAAGAUGGGCUCCAGAUAUCACUGCCUCCUGUGUAGUCCCCUCCCACAAUGAGUCAGAACUGGACCAUGUGAUAAUGGGGCUAAGUUAUAACAGGCACAAAGGAGAAAAAAAAAAAAAAAAGACAGGUGAUUCAGAGUUGGGGAGGAGACUAAAUUGAACAUGCCAGGGCUAGAUAAGGAGAGAAAACAGGUGCUAGACCUACAAAAUUCUGAAGCUUUCAAAUGUGGAGCUUUGGGCUUAGAACCUGUGAUGUGAUUACUCUAGAAUAGGCCCUUAUACUUUUGACUGGUGCAGCUGGUGUGGCCCAGACACCAGCGAUUUGGACAAGAGCAGUAAAAUGUAGUAGCUCUGGUUCUAGCCCUUAUCUCGAGUAAUUGGUCACUUUGGCUCCAGGCCAUUGUCAUCUCCAUAGGCUUUCCCUUCCAAAGCCUCUUCAGCCCUCUCUUCCGAGGACCUCUGUAUCACCACAGAGGUACUCCAUCUUGUGGGGCAAGUGGUGCACACCUGUAAUCCUGGCUAAGGGAAGCUGAGGCAGGAGGAUCACAAGUUUGAGGCAACUUAGCAAGACCCUGUCUCAAAAUAAAAAGGGAAGGGCUGGGAUUGUGGCUCAGCAGUAGAGUGCGUGUCUAGCACUGGCGGGGCCCGGGUUCAAUCCUCAGCACCACAUAAAAAUAAAGGUAUUGUGUUGUGUCCAUCUACACCUAAAAAAUAAAUUAAAAAAAAAAAAAGGUUGGGACACAGCUCAGUGGUAGAGAGUUUGCCUAGCAUGUGCAAAGCCCUGGGUUCACUCUCCAGUACUAUAAAAGCAAAAAACAAAAAAAAACCUCCAUUUCUAAUUAUGUAUAACUUCAGACACUGAUCUCUGACCUGUCCUACAGCUAAACUCUGAAUUCCUCCUACUGUUCUCUGGUCUGUGGAAACUUCCAGUCCAGUUGUCUCUCUACUUUGUUCUAUUUAUCAACUCCUUUUAGUUUUCACUUCCUUCCCCAUCAGCUAAGAGUCCAGGGUCCAUCAUUCCAUAACAUUCUUCUCAAUAUACUUACAUCCCUUACAUGGUCACACCUGCCUGGCAGUGCUCCACCUGUCUGGUGGUGCUCCACCUUUCCAGACAACCUUCUGUCUUCUCUGAGCCUUCUCCUUGCUGUCAAUGCUGUUGGACUAAAUCUUACAACCACAGAAAUCACAGUGUUAAAUAGACUGCCAACCUCAACUAGAUCCUCUGAGCCAUCCAGCAGUUCUAGGUUUGACAGGUCUGCUCUUUCUUAGUUCUCCCCAACACCAAAUUCCAAAUCUCCUGUAUGCCCCCAGAUCUCCCAUUCCUCACCCCCUCUUUGUUCUCCUAGGUGCCUCCUACACUGAAGAAAGAGCAAACAUCAACGUGAUAUCUGUCAGCUCCCAAGGACUCUGCUUCCCUCCAGCUACCAUCUUCUUUCCUUGAUCCCUUAAUAGCCAAAUCUCUUAGAAAAAGUGGUCUAUGUUUGAACAUUCCAUUGCUUUAUCUUUCCCAUCAUUUCUCAGUCCCCUUCAAUUUUGAUUUCUGCCUUACCUCUUUACUUAUACUGCCCUCAUCAAGGACAUCAAGGAUCUAGUCUUAAUCUUGCUUGACUUUUCAACAUUUAUCAUUGAUAAUCUCUCUCCGUCUCAAUUGCUCUUUUAUCCUUAAAUUCUAUGACCCUACACUCCUCUGGUUUUAAUCUCUUUCUCCACUCAGUUUCUAUUGCAGUUUCUUUUCCUUUGCCAUGAGGGAAAUCAGCACAUUCUCCUUGGGCAGUCUUAUCCAUCCACUACAUGGUUCCAGUCAAUCCCCACAGUUGAUGUUUCUCAAAGCUAUAUCUCUAUCCAAACCCUUGUCCCUGAGUUCCAGACCCAAAUAGCUAACUAUGAACUUCAACAUCUCUGUAUGACGUCACUCCAAACAAUACAUUUCUACUGUACUGAAUGUAUCACCCUCACUUCCAGUCCACCUUCUCCUCCACUAAUGGCAUCACUAGUCUUUUAGUUGCCAAAGCCCAAACUCAUGGAGCUAUCCUUAAUUUCCCUUCCCAUUCAAUCAAUGGCCUGCACACCACUUCUCACUGCUCUUUUUGUUUCUCAUCUGGCUUCCCGACCUACCUUUUACCAUAUUAUAGCCAGGAAAAUUCCGAGAUACAUCUCUGACUUCAUCACUCUUCAGGCUCCAAUUACUCCUAAAAGAGUCCAGAUGCUAGACUCCUGCCACCUGCGUAAUUUCCACUUCUUCAUAGUAAGACAUCUCUUCUCCUGGAGGGUGUUCCCUGUAUGCUGGAUCAGGUUGGUUCCCUGCACCUGUCCCAUAUUAACACCAUCUCAUGUUAUUAUCAUUCCUCACUUGUCUAAAUAGGAAUAAGGCUGAGCAGGACUAUGCAAGGUGUGCAUCCUGCUCUAAUGGGUCUUUCCCUGCCCACUCUGUUCUGUACAAUCUUUGGGGAAAUUUCCUUAGGCGAGAUCUUGAUAUAGGGGUAAUAGUGCAGGCUUGGGAACCAGGAAGCCCUUAAUUUUGCCCCAGCUCAAGUAUAUUAUCCUACUUCUCAUUGAAUUUACCUCACUGCGAAAUGAGAUGAAAGCCGUCUCUUAAAACAGGUCGAGGGGCUGGGAUUGUGGCUCACUGGUAGAGCACUCACCUAGCAUGCUUGAGGCACUGGGUUCGAUCCUCAGCAC